UACGUAGGGGGCAAGCGUUGUCCGGAUUUAUUGGGCGUAAAGCGCACGCAGGCGGUCUUUUACGUUCUGAGUGACAGGUGGGGGCUUAACUCCCACAGGUCUUGGAAAACGGAAAGACUUGAGGACGAGAGAGGGAUGCGGAAUUCCAGGUGGAGCGGUGAAAUGCGUAGAGAUCGGAAAGAACACCAACGGCGAAAGCACUCUGCUGGGCCGACACUGACACUGAGAGACGAAAGCUAGGGGAGCGAAUGGG
rnacentral:rRNA from 1 species